ACGUCUUCUCUUUCAUGGUCACAUUUCACAGGGGUCCCUUUCCCGAAGAACUUCCAGCAGGUGUGUACGAAAAUCCUGACCCGACUUUUCCGCGUCUUCGUCCACGUCUACAUCCAUCACUUCGAUGGCAUUAUCAGCGUGGGAGCCGAGGCGCACGUCAACACCUGCUACAAACACUUCUACUAUUUCAUCACCGAGUUCAGCCUGAUCGACCACCGGGAGCUGGAGCCGCUGAGAGAGAUGACGGAGAAAAUCUGCCACUGAAGCCACCUCCAGGAUGACCAUUUUGUAUCGUAGAAUAUUCCGGACAGGCGAGCCUCCAAUGUGGACUCCAUACCGUCUGGCUGAUGACACCAGCGUCUGAUGGCUCCAUAUCGUGGAAGGUUGGGCCUCCACUAUGGGCUCUAUACAGAGUGACUGGUGACACCGAUGUCUGAUGGCUCUCUAUUCUGGAAGAUCGGGUCUCCAAUGUGGACUUCAUUUGGCCCGGCUGAUGACAUCAGCAUCUGAUGACUCUCUAUAUCCUGAAGGGUUGGGCCUCCAAUGUGAACGCUAUAAAGCCUGGCUGAUGACCCCAGCAUCUGAUGGUUCCCAAUUCCAGAAGGUUGGGUCUCCAAUGUGGACUCUAUAUGGCCUGGCUGAUGACCCCAGCAUCUGAUGGCUCCCAAUUCCAGAAGGUUGGAUCUCCAAUGUGGACUCUAUAUGGCCUGGCUGAUGACCCCAGCAUCUGAUGGCUCCCAAUUCCAGAAGGUUGGGUCUCCAAUGUGGACUCUAUAUGGCCUGGCUGAUGACCCCAGCAUCUGAUGGCUCCAAAUUCCAGAAGGUUGGGCUUCCAAUGUGCACUCUAUAUGGCCUGGCUGAUGACACCAGCGUCUGAUGGCUCCCAAUUCCAGAAGGUUGGGCCUCCAAUGUGGACUCUAUAUGGCCUGGCUGAUGAUACCAGCGGCUGAUGGCUCCCAAUUACAGAAGGUUGGGCCUCCAAUGUGGGCUCUAUAUGGCCUGGCUGAUGACCCCAGCAUCUGAUGGCCCCCAAUUCCAGAAGUUUGGGUCUCCAAUGUGGACUCUAUAUGGCCUGGCUGAUGACACCAGCGUCUGAUGGCUCCCAAUUCGAGAAGGUUGGGCCUCCAAUGUGGACUCCAUGCUGCCUGGCUGGUACCACCAGCAUCUGAUGGCUCUAUAAAGGAUCCUAUCUAUUAGUUCUCUUGUCACAGAAAGAAAAGGAUGACUACUGAGAGAAGACCAGCAAUGGAAGGGUUACUCAUUGAUUAUAGACAGAAUGUAUGACUGAAGGGAAGAUUGUGUUUUUUUUUAUUAAAUAAUAUUGUAUAUAUACA